GACGUAGGGCGCGAGCGUUGUCCGGAUUUAUUGGGCGUAAAGAGCUCGUAGGCGGCUUGUCGCGUCGAAUGUGAAACCCACGGCUCAACUGUGGGCUUGCAUUCGAUACGGGCAGGCGUAGAGUUCGGUAGGGGAGACGUGGAAUUCCUGGAUGUAGCGGUGAAAUGCGCAGAUAGUCAGGAGGAACACCGGUGGCGAAGGCGGGUCUCUGGGC
rnacentral:rRNA from 1 species